rnacentral:rRNA from 1 species
UUCUUUAUGAUAAAAUAUAAAGUAAGUUCUGCUCAAUGAAAUUUUAAAUGGCCGCAGUAAUUUGACUGUGCUAAGGUAGCAUAAUCAUUUGCUCUAUAAUUGAGGGCUAGAAUGAAUGAAUAAAUGGGAAGAUGUUGUCUUUUUAAUUUAUAAUUAAAUUUUAAUUACUAGAAAAAUUUCUAGUAUGAAAUUAUGGGACGAUAAGACCCUAUUAAGCUUUAUUAAAUUAUUUAUGAGAUAAAUUAUUAAUUAUACUGGGGCGGUACUGAGAGACUUAAUCUCUUUGUUAAAUAAUAAUUUUAUUCCAUAAAGGUAUGAGUUAUAAAUAAGUUACUAUAGGGAUAACAGCAUAAUUUAUUUUUGAAGUCUAAUUUGAUAAUAAGCUUAUGACCUCGAUGUUGAAUUAAUAUUACUGUGAGGUGAAGUAGCUUUACCAGUGAGUCCGUUCGACU